GGGUUUCUGAGAAGUGCAGACGUCCAAAUCCAUCAUGUGCCCAAAACCCUUUUAAGGUGUCUUUCGGUUAUUGAAUGAACACAGUGGAGAAGAGUGGAUUUUGCACUUGUAUGAUGAAUGGGGCCAUACUAUUGUGGUGCUGGAGCUGAUAAGGCAUUUGGAUGAUCUCUGCUCCUAUUAUACUUAUAACCGGCGAUCUAUUGUUUUUUGAAAUUUGUUUAUUUAAAAAUGUGAAUGUAUGAUGCAUUGUUUGAUUUGAUUGCUAUUUG